rnacentral:rRNA from 1 species
GACGAACGCUGGCGGCGUGCUUAACACAUGCAAGUCGAACGGUGAAGCGCCUUCCUUUUUGGUGGGUGUGGAUGAGUGGCGAACGGGUGAGUAACACGUGAGGAACCUGCCCCCUUCUUCUGGAUAACCGCAUGAAAGUGUGGCUAAUACGGGAUAUUCUGGGUCUGUCGCAUGAUGGGUCUGGGAAAGAUAUUGUUUCGGUGGGGGAUGGGCUCGCGGCCUAUCAGCUUGUUGGUGGGGUGAUGGCCUACCAAGGCGGUGACGGGUAGCCGGCCUGAGAGGGUGGACGGUCACACUGGGACUGAGACACGGCCCAGACUCCUACGGGAGGCAGCAGUGGGGAAUAUUGCACAAUGGGCGCAAGCCUGAUGCAGCGACGCCGCGUGAGGGAUGGAGGCCUUCGGGUUGUGAACCUCUUUCGCCAGUGAAGCAGGCCUGCCUCGUUUGUGGGUGGGUUGACGGUAGCUGGAUAAGAAGCGCCGGCUAACUACGUG